rnacentral:misc_RNA from 1 species
GGAAAAACGACAUGGAAGCUGGC